UAAAUAGCUGCCUGCCGCGACACUGUGCGACAGCCGCCUCUCGUCCGCUCUGCAGCCGCAACAGACUCGCACGCUCACCACCGCCGCCAUGAGGACACGCACGCUGCUGGUACUGCUGCUCGUGUUGGUGGCUGCGGCCACACUCGUUGCCCCCGCGGCAGCCUGGAGGUGGCCCUGGGAGAAACCGAAAAUUACAGCAGAGAUGAUCAAGAUGCGGCAGAGGUGUGGGUCCGGAACGGUGCGAGUCGGCAACUUGUGUAGGAGGGUCUACAUGGCAUGAGGUGGCUGGGGACAUUCUUAAUGUGGGCGACAACAGUUCAACAGAAUGGAGAAAGUGGAAGCUUUUAUAUGUAAAAAAAUUUUGUACAGUUAUUUAUAAUGUAAAUAAUAAAUGUAACACUUUUUUAAAAGAAUUCUCGUCAUUUAUUGGUGGUUUUCAUUUUGGCAAUUGUUUCACUGUUUUAAAGUUUUGUUCCUUGCAACUUGCUUUCCUCCGACUAUCCUUCCAUUUCCCCAGUGUUUAGGAAAUUAUUACUAAAUAUGGGUAAUAAUAAUAAAUUAAACGUUAUAUUAAAGAAAUUCAUGUUUCACUGUCUGACGUUUUCUUAUUUUAUAAAGUGAAUCUGUUUAAUGACAGUUAUCCAUUGGCUCCCUACUCUUGCCCUUCCUUCCAGUACCUAAGAUGGUUAACGAAGUUAAAUUUUUGAUGUUAAAAUGAAUAUAAGCGGUGAUUCUUACUCA